AAAGUAAAACUACAAUGACUUUGUCCCUUGGCAUGCUGGGUAAUCUCCUUCAGCCCUCUGUACGCACCAAAAUCAAAAAGCAAACCAGAUGAGAAAUCACACAGUGGGUCGGUGUGGGCGCAGUGUUCACGUCUCUGUGGUCUCAUGAACUCCUGAAGCCUUUGUUUAACCCACCAUCUCUCACAGCUGCUAAAUAUUCAGCGUUUUUGUUAGCCUAUUUGAUCAUAAGCCCAGAGAGGAGUUUAGAGCCACUGAUGCUCGUAUGAAGGUCUGGAGCAUUCAGAUGAUCUACCAGAAGAACACUGUAUCCAUCAGAGUGAUGACGAAUGAGCAGAUUUACCAGCCGUCCUGAUUUGAUGUCUGAAGCGAGUCUGGUGAGGACACAUCAGAAAACUCUCGUACUUCCUGUAGCAGCUUCAGAACCGAAUCACAACUCUCACAACCAGACGCAUCUGCAUCGCCCGCAUCUGGACACCCGAGGAUUGUAACCUGACCUGAUCUGUCGUGGCUUCAGUCCCGCUUUUAAAAAUGCCUCGAUCGUUUCUAGUGAAAAGUAAGAGGGCGGGGCAUCACUCCACACGCUCCGCCCACUCUCAGCAUCAGCAUCAUGACGCAUGGACGUCCAGCAGUCGCUCUGCGGCUCUGGAGCUGCUUCCGUGCACAUCCACCGACAGCAGCCGAACCCAUAACAGCACUGAUGGAGCUGGAGCUGAACCCGAACCCUGGCCUUCAUCCA